rfam:Anaerosporomusa subterraneum strain RT4 RT4_contig_17, whole genome shotgun sequence.
CCAAUGCGAUGAUGCGGAAGGUUGCCCGCGUCGCGGGGAGAUUUCCGCAGAGAAUGUCCGUUCUAGAAACUGGACGAUAA